rnacentral:lncRNA from 1 species
UUCUACCAUAUGUUGAUGGCGUUAUUUCAGUCCACAAUCAAUUGUCAUACUUCCAUAAUUGAUUGUCAUAUAUCCAAAAUCGAUUGGCAUACUUCCAUAAUCGAUUUUCAGGACUUAAAAACGUUUUUGGCCUUGUCCACAAUCGAUUGUUAACAGGCACAAUCGAUUGUCCGUGUUUUUCUGAGUUUCUGUGAACUUUUUGUUUCUUGACAAUUUUUCAGAAACCAAGUGUCAAACAGUC